AGCCUAUAAAUUGUUUGUGCACACUUUGGCUCGCUUGGCACUCACCACCAGCACGCUCAUCCAUCCUGUGUGCGUCUCCAAUGAACCACACAAAGAUGAGUGAAAUUGAUGCAAGAUAAAGCAUCAAAUAAACCUGAAGAAUAAGAAAAUAAACCAAAUUGUGUUCCAUCAAACCCUGCCUCCUCCCUGCUCUUAUUCAUGACCCCUACCACUGUCUUCUGACCGAGACACUGCCUGCUCGCCAAACCUCACUCCACCCGAAUCCCUAUUUACAUCAACCUACCUACAGUUCCUACAGAAUGGAUCUAAAACGUUCUGUACUGGGCAUUAGGUACAAAAGCUGUGGAGAUUACACAGUGUGUGUGUGUGUGUGCAUGUGUGUGUGUCACUACACCUCCAAGUACAUUAUAAAAGGAGAGAGGACAGCGACCGAUGGCUCUCUAUGGCACAGAUCAUCUGGUCCUUGUGCUCGAUGCUCCACAAGGCUCCCUCUCUCCCGCUCUAGACUGAGGGAACAGUGAAGACUCCAGGAGCUCUGAAGAUUUUUGGAAUAUUCUGUGGUUUAUACGAGCUCUCGAGUGCUGCAAUGAGAGGGUGUGUGUUGCUGUUUGCGCUGAUGCUAGUUGUGAGACAUGGCCUGUGUAAAGACCAAGGACAGACCAGUAUCAACUCCUUGGACAUCAUGAAGCCGGAAAUCGACCCGUACUGGUACACGGGCCGGGGCAUUCGGCCCGUGGGACGCUUUGGACGCAGAGUGAAGGCCAGGAGGCCUCACAUUCACCUGGCGAGGAAGCCUCCCCUUCCCCCAUGCAAACUCAGACGCAGCCCGUCUGCAGCCUGCACACACCACUGGCUUUUCCAGUAACGAGGAGCCCUUUUUGUAAAUCUUUGUCUCUUCUUCGGUUUUAGUUCAUAUUUACUUGAAGCUGCUGCUGUAAGUUAAAGAGUUGCAAAUAGAGAGACUGCAUAAAGAUCCAAGAUUUUGAAAUAAACUAACACUGCUAACACUUCACUCCCUAUAUAACGUACCAUGUAGAUGACUACGCUAUUCACUAUAUGAAACACUAUAAAUACACACAUCUACAAUAUUUGACACAACUUAUAAUAAUGACCAAAUAGUGCUAAACUAUUGUGUUGUAACCAUUGUGAAAAGGUUUGCAAUGGUUUAUGGGAUGAGUAGUCCCUCACUCGUUCACAAAAAAUGAUCGGCAGUCUUGUACCUUUGUACGGAAGAGGAUUAGGGCCACACAUAAAAAACAAUUAAGUUCUGACUUUAAUGUGUGUUCAUUUUUUUUAUGUGUGGCCCCUAUCCUCUUCCGUGCCUUUGCCUUUUCUUCCAAAUAUUUUAUCAAAUAUAUUUGAUCAAAUAUCAAAUCAA